rnacentral:ncRNA from 2 species
UGCAACUUAAUAAGAGACCUUCAUAUAUCCUCGAUAAUACGGUUCGAGAGUCUCUACCGGAGCACCGAUAAUGCUCUGACUAUGAAGGCAGAAGCCGUGUGA